UACGUAGGCGGCCAAUUAAGUCAGUGGUGAAAGCCAGCAGCUCAACUGUUGAACUGCCAUUGAUACUGAUUGGCUCGAGUUCUGUUAAGGUAGGCGGAAUUGAUGGUGUAGCGGUGAAAUGCAUAGAUACCAUCAGGAACACCGAUUGCGAAGGCAGCUUACUAGGCAGAAACUGACGCUAAUGUACGAAAGCGUGGGGAUCGAACAGGAUUAGAUACCCUGGUAGUCCACGCCGUAAACGAUGCUCACUCGCUGUUGGCGAUACACAGUCAGCGGCCAAGCGAAAGCGUUAAGUGAGCCACCUGGGGAGUACGCUCGCAAGAGUGAAACUCAAAGGAAUCGACGGGGGUCCGCACAAGCGGUGGAGCAUGUGGUUUAAUUUGAUGA
rnacentral:rRNA from 1 species